CCUUUGUAUUUCUAUCUGCGUGUAUAAAUGCACCAAAUCUCGUGUUCACUUUUGUGUGUACACACAGCACAAAUGAAAACCUGCUGGUGUUUUUCGCAUGGUCAGACAUCCUCAGGGGUUAGGACAGCUGGUUCUGUGGGGUACCCACAAACACACACACACACUUUGAGAACUGGUUUCAUUGUACCCAGCCACGAGGGUUUUUAAUAACAUUACUCAAGAAGUUGCAAGAGAUUUAUUUUCAGACUCUCUGCCACUCAUGAGAAUACCUACUCACAGAUAAAUCUGUUUAUUAACUCUGAGUGGUGAUUAUAGGCAAUCCUCAAGACAGACCUCUUAGACUUUACAAAAAUGCUGCACUUUUCAUCGCCAAUCGAUUUUAUAAGUCCUGUGCAACUGCAAAUGAGCAGGGAGAGCCCUGAUCCUCCACCCAGGAGAGCCAAAAGCUCUGCUGUUAACCUCCAAACUGCAGCUGUUCCAGUCAAAACAUGCCUGGUUUCAAUUUGCUGGUUUUUAUGUCUUCAUUCACAUCUUCUUCAGAGGAGAGAAUGAAAUGCUGGGCAUUAAAGGGGAAAGAUCCUGGAUUUGUGUGCAGAGGUAUUUCUGAAAGAAAAGAACCUUGAUGCAUUUGCAGCACCCCAGCUGUGACAGCCCAGCAGAGGCAGUGCAGUGCUGGCAGAGGGUGAGACACAUUUCAUUAUUUUUUAUGCUAUUAUUUUUUUAAUUUUUUUUAUGUUAUUAUUAUUUUUGUGCUUAACCUUAUCCCUGUGCUGUGGUGAUAAAGAAGAAAGUUGUUUUGUUUUGGUGGGGUUUUUUUUUUGUUUUGUAUUUAGGGGUUUUUUGUUUUGUUUGUUUUUUGGUUUUUGGUGGUUUUUUGUGUGGUUUUUUGUGGUUUUUUAUUUUUUGUUUGGUUUUUUUGUUUGUUUGGUUUUUUAGGUUUUGAUUUUUUUUGUUUUGUUUUUUUUUGGGUAAAAUGAGUGCCUAAUAUAAAACCUGCCCUCUAAAACCAGAAGACCUCAAGCCAUUUAUUAAGCCAAAAUUGCAAGUAGAUGAGUCAGCACAGUAGUCAGGGAACUCCAACAGCAAUUUCUUAUUGUUGUUUUAGAAGUUCUUAACAAAUAUUCCCAAGUCAGACAAAGGAUUAUGCUAAUGAGCCUGCUGAGCUGACACUGCCUUUCCACAACUUUUUUAAGACAAUGGCCACAUUUUCUUCUAAAAGCAACUCUCUCAUUAGCAGGAAGGCUCCAGAACCCAUUUUGGUUCUCACAGAGAAAUAAUUCCUCUAAUUGUAUUUUCUAUUUGACUUCAAGCAGUAUUUGAACAAAACUGCCACUCCAAAAUAUUAUGGCACUGUUCCACAGCCUUUCUUUUCACAUCCUUACAUCUUUUCCACCUUUAAAAUGAAGAUUCACAUGAAGCCUCUACCUGCUCCUGCAGUAAGGUGUUCUGUGUGUUGGGUUUUCUCAAGUGCCCCUCAGCACAGCACAGACAGCUCAGGUGAGACUGCAGGAUCUCUCGGGAGGUGGAACGGACUCAGCAAGGCUUUAGGCUUUCAUUUCUCAGCCAGACUGGGGAGUCUAUCCAUCAGCCCUGCCCUGCCACGCUGCUGAAUCCAUUGGCACGUGUGACAAGGACAGCUAUUACCCCGUGUCCGUGCUGACAGCUGGGCUUGAGAUCAGGAAUUUGUCAGCUUCCCUUCACAGAACAGUUGAAUAGAUCAGGUGAGGACAUUGCAAGAUUUCCCCACUCCCCCACCCCAAUAAAACCUCAACAUCUGGUGAUAACCUAAAGCCUAAGUAAAAUUAUGGACUUCAUGACAUCAAUAAGCAAGCAGCAAUGGCAGAGCUGUGCUAUAAACCAUCUCCUGACUGGGCUGACAAAGCAUCCAGGAGUCAGAAAACGAAUUCAUUAUCAUCAGAAAAGUUAGCACCUUUCAGCAGUGACUUUCCAUGUGUCCUUCAAGUGCCAGUGAUAAUUAUUGGGGGGAGUAUUUCAGGUUUGUCUGAGUUUUGGGGACUGGCCCAAAAGUGUUGAUCGCUUAAACUUCACCUCUCUUAGGACCAGGAGCAGGUUUGAGUUGGAUGUAAAUGGUGCUGGGCAUGGAACACUGUGCUGGGAGCCUGUGCUGCUCACUGGCCACCACUGUCCCAUUUUGAGACAGUUCCUAAAGUCUUGUUCUUCAUUUCCUGUGGCUGCUCUCAGGAGCUUUUCCUGGCCUUUUAAGACUAUAUUAGAAAGUGGUAUGGUACUUCAAAGAAAAGAACUUGCAGGCAUGCUCCUGCCCAGAGCUGGCAGAGGUUCACUGGCCUUACAGUCCUAUAAUUUCCUUCCUCUAGUGAUGCCUCAGGUUUGGCUUUUCUAUUUCUCACAUUCUGUGCUGCUUUAGUGUGUGGGUCUGGGCUUCACAUGAGGGCAUGGUGAGCUCUGUGCACAGAGCAGGGAGACAAAACAAUUCCUGCUCCAGCUGGGCACCAAGGACAAAUGAUCCCAAUCUCAGCCCAAGAGCACAAACCCCGUGGGCUGCAGAGAGAAAAACAAGCAGGAUGGGACUGCAGGGGCUGCAGCUGG